AGCGUGGCCUAUCGAUCCUUUAGA
rnacentral:ncRNA from 3 species